rnacentral:rRNA from 1 species
AGAGUUUGAUCCUGGCUCAGAUUGAACGCUGGCGGCAUGCCUUACACAUGCAAGUCGAACGGCAGCACGGGGGCAACCCUGGUGGCGAGUGGCGAACGGGUGAGUAACAUAUCGGAACGUGCCCUGGAGUGGGGGAUAACUAGUCGAAAGACUGGCUAAUACCGCAUACGAUCUGCGGAUGAAAGUGGGGGAUUCGCAAGGACCUCAUGCUCGUGGAGCGGCCGAUAUCUGAUUAGCUAGUUGGUGGGGUAAAGGCCUACCAAGGCGACGAUCAGUAGCUGGUCUGAGAGGACGACCAGCCACACUGGGACUGAGACACGGCCCAGACUCCUACGGGAGGCAGCAGUGGGGAAUUUUGGACAAUGGGGGCAACCCUGAUCCAGCAAUGCCGCGUGAGUGAAGAAGGCCUUCGGGUUGUAAAGCUCUUUUGUCAGGGAAGAAACGGCUCUAGCUAAUAUCUGGGGCUAAUGACGGUACCUGAAGAAUAAGCACCGGCUAACUACGUGCCAGCAGCCGCGGUAAUAC